UACGUAGGGGGCUAGCGUUGUCCGGAAUCAUUGGGCGUAAAGAGCGUGUAGGCGGCCCGGUAAGUCCGCUGUGAAAGUCGGGGGCUCAACCCUCGAAUGCCGGUGGAUACUGUCGGGCUAGAGUGCGGAAGAGGCGAGUGGAAUUCCUGGUGUAGCGGUGGAAUGCGCAGAUAUCAGGAAGAACACCGACGGCGAAGGCAGCUCGCUGGGACGGUACUGACGCUGAGGCGCGAAAGCGUGGGGAGCGAACAGG
rnacentral:rRNA from 1 species